CGCCAGACUCCUACGGGAGGCAGCAGUGGGGAAUAUUGCACAAUGGGCGAAAGCCUGAUGCAGCAACGCCGCGUGAAGGAAGAAGGCCUUCGGGUCGUAAACUUCUGUCCUUGGGGAAGAAGAACUGACGGUACCCAAGGAGGAAGCCCCGGCUAACUACGUGCCAGCAGCCGCGGUAAUACGGAGGAUGCGAGCGUUAUCCGGAUUUAUUGGGUUUAAAGGGUGCGCAGGCGGCACGGCAAGCCGGCGGUCAAAUCGCGGGGCUCAACCCCGCCCAGCCGUCGGAACUGCCGGGCUAGAGUGGGCGAGAAGUGCGCGGAAUGCGUGGUGUAGCGGUGAAAUGCAUAGAUAUCACGCAGAACUCCGAUUGCGAAGGCAGCGCACCGGCGCCCUACUGACGCUCAGGCACGAAAGCGUGGGUAUCGAACAGGAUUAGAUACCCUUGUA
rnacentral:rRNA from 1 species